AUUGAACGCUGGCGGCAGGCCUAACACAUGCAAGUCGAACGAGUGGCGGACGGGUGAGUAAUGUCUGGGAAACGGCCUGAUGGAGGGGGAUAACUACUGGAAACGGUAGAUAAUAGCGCAUACUAUCAUGUGUCCACAGAUGGGAUUAGCUAGUAGGUGGGGUAAAGGCUCCCCUAGGCGACGAUCCCUAGCUGGUCUGAGAGGAUGACCAGCCACACUGGAACUGAGACACGGCCCAGACUCCGACGGGAGGCAGCAGUGGGGAAUAUUGCACAAUGGGCGCAAGCCUGAUACAGCCAGGCCGCGUGUAUGAAGAAGGCCUUAGGGUUGUAAAGUACUUUCAGCGGGGAGGCGUUACCCACAGAAGAAGCACCGGCUAACUCCGUGCCAGCAGCCGCGGUAAUAC
rnacentral:rRNA from 1 species